GUGCUCACUUCAGCAAUACACAUACAUUCUAAAAUUCUAAUGGUAUAGAGAAGAUUAGCAUGGCCCUUGUGCUAAGACAACACACAGAUUCAUAAAAUGUUUGUUAUUUUA